UCAAUAAAUCAAGGAGAAAAUUUUCCAAGCUAUUUUAACUCUUUACUCACCAGUAUUGUUCUAUUUCCAUUAUGGAAAUGUAUCUGUCAAUAAGAUUGUUUUCCUGCCUUAUAAUACAUAUGUUCUCCAGUCAUCCAACAUAUGUAAAUUUUGUUGUCUUAUUUCAUUCUGCCCAAUGAAGAGAGCAGAAGCUUACAUAUUCAAAACUCCACUAAAAUGUCCCCUUAAAUUGAUAUUUUACCUCUUUUGUUUCACCUUGAAACUCAGUCAUCAUUAAGUAAGAGUUAUGUGCAGCUCUCUUAAAGGACUGACUUUCUUUCUACAUCCACUGCCCAAAUUGCCUCCUCCCCCCUCCACCACCGGUGAUUUUUCCGGCUGGGUUACUCAUGAAAGUGCUAGCACAUGGGUGAUUACAUAAGAAAAGAGAUCUCCUUGAAUGUCUGUCUGGUGAUAAGAACACAUGGAUACUGGGGCAUUGUUCUGGUUGCUAGUAGAAACUCUGAUAUGAAAUUAGAGCAUGAUCCCCAAAGUUCACUGGCCGUGAAUGCAGUCCCUGUAGCUCUUUUAAAGACUACGAAAUCUAAGUCACAUUGGCCAGAAAGACCUGAUAAGUUGUGGAAUUCGGAGAACGAAGGAGAAAAGAUUAAGAAAACAAACAAGCAAAAUCACCCUUUCCCUUCCACUCUGUACUCUCCUCAAGACCAAUGUAUCUUCUAAAGCUAAAGACAUAGCAGAAGCCACAAAAGAAGAAUGUGUUUUUCUUCCUCCUCUUCUAACCAAAGCAGCAGCUAAUCCUCCUGGCUUCAAUACAAAGCAAAAAAGGAGCAUUUCUUUCCUCAAUCAAAUAAUCCCUCACCAUUAUAGGAUGAGACAUCCCUUCCUUUUUUCUUGUCUGCAGUAUUUUGCAGCUGUGUUGCAAGAAACUCACAAAUCAUCCCUGAAGGUCAGUGAAAUUGAUAACUUCUGCUUUUGCUUGUGGAAUAGAGGAUCAUCAAGAGAUUCAUCUUCUAAGAAACUCCCCUUCAUUGCCGCUGUUGACAAGCAGGGGGGUUGUUGGUGCCAAUUGAUUUCUCUUUGAUUUCUUGGCUGCAUGGAGCCUUCAACAUAAGAGUCAAUUUAGAGUCAAAAGCCCCAAAGUGAUUUAGUAGCUUCCGUGUGAGGAACAGCAGAGUCCAGGAGAGCUUACAAGUCUUGAUUGUGGCAUAUGCUUUGGCAUUACUACAGAAUGAGCUUCAAAUUCUUUGCCCUCCUCUAUCUUACAGCUUAGUGAUCUCAUAAGAGAAUACAGGAAAACAAGAAGAGGGUGUAGAAAUUCAGAAACUGAACAGAAUUAUGCAUAUUUCCACUUUUCAUUAUAAUUCCAAAGUUACUGUUUUUAAUUACAGGAAAUAGCUAUCAUUAAAUGUAAAGUAUUUGUUGUAAUAGCAGAUUCUCUUCUAUUGAAAUGAAUGGCAAAAUGCCCAGGAAGUAUUAUACAUUACUUUAGAUUGCUUAAUAUAGUGGGUUUAUCCCCAAAACAUGUGUUAAAUAUUGCAUAAAUUCAAUGUAAUGUGCAUUUAAGACUGCAAAAGAAUUUAGAAAUAUUAUUGUUCUGAAUGCUCACUUCCAGGGACCUCCAGAAAGCAUUGCUUGAGUUGUAAUGUGAUCCAACCUAGCAUGAUCAAGAAAGUGAAAAUAUUUGUUUGUUCGCAGCAGGUUAGAUUUUCAGUUUUACAUACUCCUAUGUGUUAUUUGUUGACUUGAGUGUCUCAAUAAUCUAUCACAUGAAACAAUACAGGCAAAACUGGGCAUGAGACAAAAAUUGACAACAUUAAAUUUUGAACAAUGGUGCAAUAGAAAAAUCUACCACCAAUAGGUUUGGGGGUUCUGUAUUUCCCAUUUUGUGUGCUAGUGUUAAAAAGGUUAUGUAGGCAGCUGUUGCUCUUCUAGCCACUAUGGAUGUUCCCUCUUAAUUUAACAUUGAAUGUAUUGUUGGCCUUGGGGUGGGGGUGUACGGGUGGCAUCUACUAUUAAAAUGGC
rnacentral:lncRNA from 11 species